rnacentral:misc_RNA from 1 species
GACGCCAGUCAAUGCCAGAGCGCGAAGCGGUCGCGUUGACAUCGGUAGCUGCUCUCCAAUAAUUCUCCAAUACCAUAUAUUAUUCCCAUCCGAUUCGAUUCGAUCAGGUCCGACCGACGGACCAUGCUAAUUGCCGCGCUGUGAUACGCGAUUCGGUUCCGAGUAGACGACGUUGGACGCCAGCGGGCAAACAUCCAUGCGAAAUCGCCGUCCCGUUCCGCCUUGGUGACACCCACUUUGAUAAGAGAUAAUUAAAGAGUAAUACAUGUUCCCGAUUUGCCUUUCGUCUGGGCCAUUGCUUUGCCUUUUGCCGGUGUUAAUUAAGCCUUCACACACUUAAGUGUGCCACUUGAAAUGUACGCAUGAGCACUGUCUUAUCGCCAGUCGGAUUCGGCCAACGGAGUAGACAAAAGUUAAAAGUGAUCUCACAGAUAGCAACGAUUCCGAUUCGGAUUCGGAUUCAGUAUCAGUAACAGCAGCAGCAACAACAGCAGCAGCAGCAUUUUCCCAUCUGAAGUCACAAUCGCAGUGCAUCGGCAGCAGCAUAUUCAUAAGUAAUCUUUGGCCGCAGCCACAUCGGCGGAUCAACUCCACGCCACUGGCCACUGGCCAUUGAAGGGAAGUCGGUCUUGUGACCACGACGUGGUGCUGCAGCUAAUUGAAUUUAAUGCACAAAUGAGCCCAAGGAAUUUGCUUUCAUAAGUCUGACGAAUGCAAUUCCUUCACUGCGCCACUUGCAUUGUUGUCAUCUGUCAUCGUCGAGAUAUUUCACUUCCGAGUCGCACACCACUACCGUCAUAAGAUGAAGGCAACCAGGAACGGCGGCCAGCUGCUCAUCGCUCCUUCGCCGCAGAACGCUGCCCGUCUGCUGCCACUGCGCACCUACUCCAACGCCUCCUCGCUGGGCCACCACCAUGACAGGAGCACUCUGUCCGACGGCGACGAGGAGGAGGGUGGCCUUGGCUACACCCACACACUGAUGUAUGGUCGCUAUACCAAAGAUCUAGGAGAAUUUGCCAAGGAUGAAGCCAGAAAGCUCAAAAUACUCGAAAAGCGACGAAAGCAGGAAGAUAAGCAAAGGAAUAAGUGCUGGGAAAUAUUUACAGGAACUGCUGGGCAAACACUCGACCCGGGCGAAGCGGGUGUCAUCAUGGAUCUGGAGGCACACGGUGGCCCGACUGGGCGAGGAUUGGGUCUUCCUGGCCCUACUGGGCAUCAUUAUGGCCCUGCUCUCGUUCAUCAUGGACAAGGGCAUAUCCAUAUGUACAAACGCGCGAAUUUGGCUGUAUCGCGAUCUGACGUCACAGCCUUUUGUUCAGUACAUCGCAUGGGUCUCACUGCCGGUCUGUUUGAUAUUGUUCUCAGCCGGCUUUGUCCAUCUCAUCGCACCGCAGAGUAUAGGUUCUGGUAUACCCGAAAUGAAGACCAUACUGCGCGGCGUUCAAUUGAAAGAGUAUCUCACAUUUAAGACACUAGUGGCCAAGGUAAUUGGUUUAACGGCAACUCUGGGCAGCGGUAUGCCAUUGGGAAAGGAAGGUCCUUUCGUACAUAUAGCAAGUAUUGUAGCACAAUUAUUAAGUAAACUUGUCACAUCAUUCCAAGGCAUAUAUGAGAAUGAGUCGCGAAAC